rnacentral:rRNA from 1 species
UACGAACUGUGCGAACGUUAUUCGGAAUCACUGGGCUUACAGGGUGCGUAGGCGGCUUAGCAAGUCAGGUGUGAAAGCCCCCGGCUCAACCGGGGAGGGUGGCUGCAAACUGCGCUUCUUGAGGGCGAUAGAGGAGUGUGGAAUUCCUGGUGUAGCGGUGAAAUGCGUAGAGAUCAGGAGGAACACCUGCGGCGAAGGCGGCAUCCUGGACCAUUUACUGACGCUGAGGCGCGAAAGCUAGGGGAGCAAACGGG